AGAGUUUGAUCCUGGCUCAGGAUGAACGCUAGCGAUAGGCCUAACACAUGCAAGUCGAGGGGCAUCACAUGAAGCAGCAAUGCGGAUGGUGGCGACCGGCGCACGGGUGAGUAACGCGUAUGCAAUCUACCUACAACAAGGGAAUAACCCGUUGAAAGACGGACUAAUACCCUAUAAUACAGGGGUCCCGCAUGGGAAUAUUUGUUAAAGAUUUAUCGGUUGAAGAUGGGCAUGCGUUCCAUUAGCUUGUUGGUGAGGUAACGGCUCACCAAGGCUACGAUGGAUAGGGGAACUGAGAGGUUUAUCCCCCACACUGGAACUGAGACACGGUCCAGACUCCUACGGGAGGCAGCAGUGAGGAAUAUUGGUCAAUGGAGGCAACUCUGAACCAGCCAAGUCGCGUGAAGGAUGAAGGUCUUAUGGAUUGUAAACUUCUUUUGCAAGGGAAUAAAGUGGGGGACGUGUCCUCCUUUGCAUGUACCUUGCGAAUAAGGAUCGGCUAACUCCGUGCCAGCAGCCGCGGUAAUACGGAGGAUCCGAGCGUUAUCCGGAUUUAUUGGGUUUAAAGGGUGCGCAGGCGGGAGAUUAAGUCGGCGGUGAAAUUUUGCAGCUCAACUGUAAAAGUGCCUUCGAAACUGGUUUUCUUGAGUGUGGAUGAAGUAGGCGGAAUUUGUGGUGUAGCGGUGAAAUGCAUAGAUAUCACGAGGAACUCCGAUUGCGCAGGCAGCUUACUAAGCCACAACUGACGCUCAUGCACGAAGGCGUGGGGAUCAAACAGGAUUAGAUACCCUGGUAGUCCACGCAGUAAACGAUGAUUACUAGUUGUUUGCGAUACAAUGUAAGCGACUGAGCGAAAGCGUUAAGUAAUCCACCUGGGGAGUACGUUCGCAAGAAUGAAACUCAAAGGAAUUGACGGGGGCCCGCACAAGCGGAGGAACAUGUG
rnacentral:rRNA from 1 species